AUUGAACGCUGGCGGCAUGCCUUACACAUGCAAGUCGAACGGCAGCAUGGAGAGCUUGCUCUCUGAUGGCGAGUGGCGAACGGGCGAGUAAUGCAUCGGAACGUACCGUGUAAUGGGGGAUAACGUAGCGAAAGUUACGCUAAUACCGCAUACGACCUGAGGGUGAAAGCAGGGGAUCGCAAGACCUUGCGUUAUACGAGCGGCCGAUGUCCGAUUAGCUAGUUGGUGCGGUAAAGGCUCACCAAGGCGACGAUCUGUAGCGGGUCUGAGAGGAGGAUCCGCCACACCGGGGAUGGGACACGGCCCAGACUCCGACGGGAGGCAGCAGUGGGGAAUUUUGGAGAAUGGGGGCAACCCUGAUCCAGCCAGGCCGCGUGAGUGAAGAAGGCCUUCGGGUUGUAAAGCCCUUGCGGCCGGGAAGAAAUCGCACAGGCUAAUACUCUGUGUGGAUGACGGUACCGGCAUAAGAAGCACCGGCUAACUACGUGCCAGCCGCCGCCGUAA
rnacentral:rRNA from 1 species